ACAGAUCGUUCAGAGUUUGAUCCUGGCUCAGGAUGAACGCUGGCGGCGUGCCUAACACAUGCAAGUCGAGCGAGAAUUUACGAAAUGAAGCUUCGGCAGAUUUUUGUAAAGGAAAGCGGCGGACGGGUGAGUAACGCGUGAGUAACCUGCCCUUAGUGGGGGAUAACACAUCGAAAGGUGUGCUAAUACCGCAUAAUAUAUGUUUACCGCAUGAUAGACAUAUCAAAGAUUUAUUGCCUAAGGAUGGACUCGCGUCUGAUUAGAUAGUUGGUGAGGUAACGGCUCACCAAGUCGACGAUCAGUAGCCGAACUGAGAGGUUGAUCGGCCACAUUGGGACUGAGACACGGCCCAG
rnacentral:rRNA from 1 species